rnacentral:lncRNA from 1 species
GGAGGCAAUUUGAAGGGUAGGAUGCAGGCAAGAUGGGACACUUGCUGUCCAGCUGUGUUUCUGGAGGGUGUCCAAAAAGUUCUAAAACAGCUCAACUCAAUGGUAGAAAGAUGUCAGUCUCUUAAAAUUCUUUGUCAUCAGGGAAACUUUAAAUCCACAUUGAUAUUCAGUUCUAUUUAAGUGGACAAAAUAAAAAUCGAGAAAUUGGGAGCAAAUCUAUUGCAUGGACUAGGUUGAGCACAGAAAACACAGUACAUUUAAGCAGUCCCCGAAUUUGUUAUGGAGUGCUCUGAGUCCCCAGUAAAAAUGAUUUGGCUUUGCUUAUCUGGUCAAGAAUACACGAUUAUCGAUAAGAGACUCCAACGGCCAAAGAUAAUUUCUCUUUAAAGAUAACUCAUCUGUGAAAUGAGGCAGUUAGGCAAGGUAAUCUCUAUGUCCCUUCCAGUUGGAACGUUUUCUGAGAUUUUCUAGGCGGAUUCCAAGUCCGCCUAUCAAACUGCUUGGUCUAUUCUGCAGGAUGUUCCUCUUCCAACAGCGAAUUCUGCAGGUUCAAUCCAGACCUUCAAGAACCACAGCUUCUUGGGCCCUGCUACCCUCUGACUAUAAUCCUGCCCGUGAAAGAAGUCUUCGGGGGGUGAUGCACCUGUUUUGCUGCUGAUAUUGGCAAUGACAGAGCUAUCAUUACGAGAUCUGAGACCCAAUGAUUCGCCCACAAGUGUCAGAGGAGACAUCAAGAUUGCAAAUUUAGUACCAGAAGGAGCCUUCCAGAUCAUUUGGUCCACCUUACCCCGAAUGCAAGUCCAAAUCCAUCAUGCUUUCCGCAGGUCUACUAAGCCAGACUUCUCUGCCCUUCGACUUCACUGUGUAGGAGCUGAGACUAACAAGGAGCUAGUCUUGUUUCAAAGUCACACUUUGUACUCGGCUGUCUCACUCAAGCAUGAAGAAUGAUUCAUGAACAGGGAAUCGGCUGGAAAGGAUCACUGACUCCAGAACUGGCACAACGGUCCUGGGAUCAUCAAAGACAGUGUUCCAACUCUUCUGCUAUGUUGUGGAGAGAUUUCUGACCCAAAUAUCUUAGAGUUGUCUGCCAAAGGGCCUCAGUGCCAUGAUAAAUAAAGAGGUAGAAGGCCCGAGUCUGAUUCUGAAACUGAAUCAAAUACAAAUACAAC